rnacentral:tRNA from 1 species
GCCCUGGUAGCUUAAUGACUUAGAGCUCCGAUUUUGUAAUUCGGAAGGUAGGGGUUAAAGUCCCUUCUAGAGGC